rnacentral:lncRNA from 10 species
GAAAAUUCCUGUUAGGAACACAAGUUGCUGUUUAUAUUUGCUUGUUCUCUUAAAUAGUAUGAGAAGAAGUAAGAUUUUUAAGAGUGUGAUUUCAUAGUCUCCAGAAGUAUCCGACUGCAAAGAAUAAAAUCAAUGAAGAACAAAUACAGUAUAAAUAAUGGGAGACCAUAAAUGAAUCAAAUCCUAUAGCACUAGGGAAUUCACCUGGGUGUGAGACUCAUGAGCUAUACCAUUUAGUAAAACAUACCUGCAAUUCCAUCAUUCAUUCAUACCUGAGUGUAAUUACGUUCUGACCAGCAUCUUCUUCACUGUAAGUAAUAUUUAGAUUCUUCCUGAUAUACUGCAGUUAAAUUUCAAUUUUGGUUUAAUAAAAUAAGAUUGCAUCACUUACAUAAUAUUGAUUUCUAUAAAAACUUCAAAUUUUAGUUUUAAUAAUAUUUAUCGAACACUUGCUAUUCAAAAGGCUUAAUGUGUAUUAACUACUUUAACCCUUUUAAAAGCUCUCUGCAAUAGGUACUAUACGUAUCCCCCAUUUAACAGAUAAGUAAAAUGAGAAAGACAGGUUAGGAAACUUGCCUCAAAUCUUAUCGAGAAUAAGUGACAAAAGCAGGAUUUGAAUCCCUAUAUCCUGGCUCCUUAAUACCCUGCUACACUGCCUAACUUAGGAAAGUGAAAUGAACCACAUUUUUAAAGAAUAUGUUUAUCAGUUCCUUUUCCCAAGGCCAACCAAAAAUAGACUGUUGUCCAGAAAAGAUACUACGUGAGGUUGAGGCUUAAAGGGCAAAGAUACCAAGUUUGUAACGCAAAAGACUUCACAGGAGGUAAAACUUGGCUUUCAACCUGGAUUGUGUAAGAUGCUCACAUUAUUUUUAUUUUAUUUGAGGUAACCCAACCAGUGAGCUCUUCUUAUCACUUAAGUUUCACAUUUGGAAUGGCUGUUACUGGGGUGAAUAUUAGAGAAAGUGGUAAUAUAAAGGAAGUCUCAGAGAAGGCUCAUUUAGUGAAGAAGUUAAGCAUUACUUUCAUAGUAAGACACAAUAGGCCUUUAUAUAUAUUUUUCUGUUUUCUUUAUUUCUUGUUCAUUUGUCUGUUUCACAAAAUAUAUGACAAUAUUCUUCGUUUUUAUAUAGAUUUUAGUUCUUAUGCUAUUGGUUUUCCUGUCUUGCUCUGCAAUAGCAGAGCUGACAAGUCAACAAUGCUCCAGCUUUGUAUUAAAAGAGCUCCUUCUAGACAUCUCUGAUCAGAGUUGUAAACAAUUAGGCGUUCUACCAGUUAGUCAAGAAAAUACAUCCAAGUAACUCAAAGUAUAUUUACACCGCUAAUGACUUACUUGACCUCUCCACAUGUCUUACAUGGCUCAAAGACAUCUCAAACUCAAUACAUGUAAAACCAAACUCAUAAACCUCCCCCCACUCCCCCAAAAGAAAAGGAAACAAACAAACAAACAAACAACCUAAAACCUGAUCCUCUUGCAAGGAAUGGCGCCACUGUCUGUUUUCCAAGUUAGGAACUUGAGUGUCAUCCUUGCUAUCUUCCUUUCCUCACACCAAGAUAUUAUACCAAGUCCCUUAAGUUUCAACUCCUAAAUAUCUUUUGAGCCCUUCUUAUUCUCCAGAAUAAGAAGAUCUUACAGGGAUCUUUUCAUGAUCCUGAUACUAACUCUUCAAGAGCUCAUGCCCAGAACUCUUCAAUGGCUUCCCCUUACUCUUAAGCUAAAGCCAAAAUUCCUUAAACAUUGCCAAAAAGGUCCUGCAUGAUCUGGCCCCCACAUCCUCAUUUUUCAUUAUGCUUCCUCCACCAUGAGGCCUUUCCAUUUGUCAUUUCUUUUAUUAGAAUGUUCUACUGGCUCCCUUACCUCCAUACAUUUUGCCUUAUUAAUAUCUACUUAUUUUCCAGAUCUGAAUCAUGACUUUCUCAUAGAAGCCUUUCCUCUAAGUCAAGUCCUACUAUUGUAGGAUCUUUUAGCACAAUGUCACUUUCCUUUACAUUUAACAUAGUUGUAAUUCCAUAAGGGCAGAAAAUGUCUUCCCCCACCCUACCCCCUUUGCUUAUAAUUGUAACCCUGAGCCUAGCACAUAAUAUGCAUUUGAUAAUAUUUUUAAUUGAAUGAGUGAAUUCGCUGAUCUCAAAGCUCUCUUUCAACUGAACUCAUCUUGCUACUUGGAUUUUAUUUCUCAAUAUUCCCCAAGGUAGACCCUCUAAUCAAACAAAUGCCUUAUUACUUCUUUCCCUCUUGCUUCUUCCCAUAUCUGUCUCUAGAGCAUUUACUUUUAAGACCCUAUUGAUCUGGGGUCUUAAAGGUAAAUGCUCCAGCAGAGCACCUGGCCCACAGGAGACACUCAACACAUGCUUGUUGACCUGAAAGGCAGGCUCAAGACCCAUUUCUCUAACCCCAAACUUCUUUUCUUCUCAAUUCCGAUAGUACUAGCUCUAUAUUCAACAAUCUAGUAUUUAAUUGUCUGUUGUUUCAAUUAUUAUCUUCUAAUUGUUUCUUCAUACCUACCUCAAGUCUCCACAUAGAUUAUGAGUUGAUUGUGAGUGGCUACUAUAUUUUCCCAUAAAAAGCUUGGAAUUGUGCUAUUUAUUAAAUAAAUACAGAAUUUGUCUAUGAAGGAAAACUACCAAAAAAUAUAAUUUCAUCUAAAUUUUCCAUAAUAUCUUCUUAUAAAGUAGUAAGAGGUACACAUUGGUUUUUCACCUCUGUUCUUCCUUGCCUUCUCCUUCCCACCGGUUACCCCCUGAGAAAGGUGUCAAUGGACAAAGAAAUGUCUAAACAAUAGGUGGAAGGAAGAAAACAGGCAGGAUGACAGGCUGAGAUGAUAUGCAAAAUGGAACUCUAUCCCAUGAAUUUCAGAAACAACCAUCUAAAAAGAUCCUGUUCUUCAAUAGCAAAAAUGUAAUGAGAUUACUUAAUAAUAUGUGUUAGGUGGUAGAAAUAAAGAAAUCUUGUACUAUUUCAAACUGCAAACUGAAGUUUUCAGUGAUGGAUUUUUCUUUUCUAUCAAACUACAAAUAGUUUAAAUGUUUUCUAAUACAAUAAGCCUCAAUUACCCAGACCACUGGGGAACGGAGAGCCACUGGUUAAUUUAAUUUUCUGGUUUGCUGAGGGUGAACUGAAAGCCCUCUUUAUGUCUCAACCUUGUUACUGACAAUCUUUAGAAAAUGUGUGAGUCUAUUUUUCUGCCUUAGUAGCUACAACAUGGUUAAUGUUAUUGAAUCUUCCUCUGAUGAUUGAAACUAUUGUGAUGUGUCAGGACUGAUUCAAAUAGAAUUGAGUGUGAGCAGUUGAUGCAAUUUGUGCUAAGUCCCAGGCACAGUCUGAGAAUUGCCUUUUUGAGUAAGUUCCUGAUUUCAACUUAUGCAUGCAUCUCAGCAUCUCUUUCUGUAAAAGUUUAGUGCAAAAACAAAAACUCUGAUUAAAAAGAGAGAGAGAGAGAUUUUAGUGAAUGAAUCUAGUUGACUGAUUGAUGUUCAUUCAUUCAUUCAUUCAUUCAAAGGCCAUUUGUAAAGUCAGAGGCAGAAACCUUCCCAAGAUAGCUGCAGAAAGACCCAGGCUAAUAUUUGUGCCUGUUCAAGGGUGGCUAUUGUGGGUAGGGCCAUAGCGAAGGUUGGACCAAAGACUCCAGCUGCUGGCAGGGACACUGGAAUGUGGUCUAAGCCAGGUGUCCCCAGGGGACAUCGCUGAGUGUAAGCUCCCCCACAGAGGUAGUGCUCCAGCCUUGUAGGGGCUUGAGAGAGGGUGCUGCUACCCAGGAUCAGGAUGUGCAUGGUGCAUAAUGAUCCACAGCUUAGGGGGUCUAAUCAGCAUGGACUCCAUUCCCAGUUUUAGACCCUCAGCACUCAGAGCAAACACUCUGCUUGGCUGCUGCUUCCCUCUUCAUCCUGGAUCACCUUCUAGGCCCCAAGUCUCAGCUUAGACCUUGGAGAGUUCACCUGGGUCCAAUACUCUCUAGUGCUGAUUUCCUCGAGACAUUCAAGGGUAGAUGGAGUAGCAAAGAGACGGAGAGGUCUGCAUAGCCUGCAAGUCCUCUGCGAAGGCAGCCCUGACUCUGUCUUUUCCCCUGGUCAGUGUGGCCUUGGAGGCAAGGACAGUGGAUUGCUCCACUCACCAACCCCAGCUUCCACUUUGUUCCAGGGAACCAGCUUGGACUAACACUCUCUAUCACUCAUUUACUAGAGACUUUCAUAUGUGGUCUGGAGCAUCAAGGUAGAAAAGUAAAUCAAUGGAAGGCUACUGAGCAGGUGUGGGGCUAGCCCCUUAGUUCUCCACUAACUAGUUGCCAUCUUCCUGUUGGGACUAUGACUUUUGAACCACGAGCUUAAGGUACAGAAGCCUCUUGUACAAUUUUUGUCAGGCUUACUGCCCUAUUAAUUCAAAUAAUUUGUAAUUUAUUUGAAG